rnacentral:rRNA from 1 species
UACGGAGGGGGCUAGCGUUGUUCGGAAUUACUGGGCGUAAAGCGCACGUAGGCGGCUUUGCAAGUUAGAGGUGAAAGCCCGGGGCUCAACCCCGGAAUUGCCUUUAAAACUGCAUCGCUUGAAUUGUGGAGAGGUAAGUGGAAUUCCGAGUGUAGAGGUGAAAUUCGUAGAUAUUCGGAGGAACACCAGUGGCGAAGGCGGCUCACUGGUCCGGUACUGACGCUGAGGUGCGAAAGCGUGGGGAGCAAACAGG